CAUAAAUGUGUACACCUCGAAGAGAAUUAUGUAGAAAAUAAAUGGAAACCAUCGACUGUCUUUCACAGACAGACUUUAAAGCUUUCAGCGAGCCCUCAUGAAGGACUCGAUUUAACCAUCUCGAGUUGGCAACAUGAACACUAACUUGUGGGCCCUGCUCACAGACUCAAGAAGUGUGACACCCAAUCUUUCAAGACUUCCAUCUAUGUUUCGAAUACCAUGUGAACAGACCCCUUGAUCAUUUGUGCUGUCCAGGCGUGACUAUUAUAACGUUUAAAAUCUGCACAGAGUUUAAAAUCAUGCUAUUUAUACUGUGAAUAAAAUUAAAUCAACGUUGCUUCCGUUUCGAGUAACAAAUAGACUAUUUUAAAUAUCUAGUAUCAUUUUAUCACCCUAAAUGUUCAAAACGUUCAAAAUGGCAAAUUAAAAUCUAUGUUGGAUGUGCCUUCCCACAACUUGAAGACAUUCAGAAUUGGUCUAUGAAUAUCAUCCAUUGUGUGGAAUACACUUUCAGAAUAUAUCAAACAAAGUGAUUCUCUGCCAGAUUUUAUAUCUAAUUAGUGAAAUGUGGUUAUUUAGUCACUAUUAUAAACAACUCAAAAUCAGAACAUUUACUUGGGCGUAAAAAUUCUCUUCUCUGGUAGAUUGAAUAUCGUCAUUAUUAUUAUUUUAAUGUAUUUUGGCUUGUACAGACGGCAAUUUAGUGUUCCAAACUGAUUCAUUUUGGGUGUGGCAAAACAUCUAAUACACUUGUGAAAUCUUUAUGAAUUUAUAAUAUACCAGGAAGUUAAUAGCGAAAACGAUGAUAAUUCGAUUACGUCCAUUUUUAUACGCUCAUGUAAGCAUAAGUUAUAUUUAUAGCACGGCCGUAGGCCGAGGUGUUAAACCUGUUAACGAAUGAAACGUGCUAUAAAUGACUUGUAACACUGACACCUACUCAACAUGCUCGUUGUUAUUGGUCUGAAAACUCACCCCACUUCUCUAUAUGAUUUCUACUAAAACUAGAGGAAACCAGCGAGAGUGUGCAAUAACAUCGAAAAUGUCUAGUUAUUGCACGGUUAAGCCCCAGUCAGUCUACUAGAGGGAAAACAAUCAGUUUAUUCAACGAAGAGAACAAAGAAAGAUUUCCCGUCCACGUUACAAUAGAAUCUAUGAUACUGCAUAUCUCGUUGCAUGCUGUAUAAUUGCUUUGUACAAAUUAAGUUAAAUUGUUCAUGUAUAAGUUUCUUUCGGCCAAACAAAUGUGUUUUAGAGUCUAUCCCUGAGCAAAUAUCGCUGUAGACAUCCCUGAAGGCUUAUUAUCAUAUUAAUUGAUCAAAAAAGCAAAACUUCUCGUGUAUAACUGAUCGACAAAGAGAAAUGAAUAAUUUAAACGUUGCUAAUGGAUGUCAAACGAACACGCCACUGUCAAAUUUUAAAGUCUAGACGGCUUGAUAAAAGGUAAAGUUUGUUGUUUUAAAAAUCCUUUAAUAAUACUGUUAUUUCCUUGAUCAUAGCGUAACUUAUCAUUAUGUGUAUAUUGCAACGAGAAAUGAAAAAUAAACGUGUUUUGAAAUUGCU